GAAUUUCUGCUGCUUCGUUGACUGCGUUUGGCGUUUGUCAUCGUUGCGGCUUGGUUGGGUUUCGAUUAUUCGUUUCCCGGCGUUUACUUUGAGAAAAUUAGAGUGCUUGAAGCAGGCUUUUGCCUUGAAUACUUUAGCAUGGAAUAACGGAGUAGGACUUUGGUUCUAUUUUGUUGGUUUUAGGAGCCAGAGUAAUGGUUAAUAGGAACAGUUGGGGGCAUUCGUAUUUGACUGUCAGAGGUGAAAUUCUUAGAUUUGUCAAAGACGAACUACUGCGAAAGCAUUUGCCAAGGAUGUUUUCAUUAAUCAAGAACGAAAGUUAGGGGAUCGAAGACGAUCAGAUACCGUCGUAGUCCUAACCAUAAACGAUGCCGACUAGAGAUUG
rnacentral:rRNA from 1 species